rnacentral:rRNA from 1 species
CCUACGGGUGGCAGCAGUCGAGAAUCAUUCACAAUGGGGGAAACCCUGAUGGUGCGACGCCGCGUGGGGGAAUGAAGGUCUUCGGAUUGUAAACCCCUGUCAUGUGGGAGCAAAUUAAAAAGAUAGUACCACAUGAGCAACAGACGGCUAACUCUGUGCCAGCAGCCGCGGUAAUACAGAGGUCUCAAGCGUGGUUCGGAAUCACUGGGCGUAAAGCGUGCGUAGGCUGUUUCGUAAGUCGUGUGUGAAAGGCGCGGGCUCAACCCGCGGACGGCACAUGAUUCUGCGAGACUAGAGUAAUGGAGGGGGAACCGGAAUUCUCGGUGUAGCAGUGAAAUGCGUAGAUAUCGGGAGGAACACUCGUGGCGAAGGCGGGUUCCUGGACAUUAACUGACGCUGAGGCACGAAGGCCAGGGGAGCGAAAGGGAUUAGAUACCCGAGUAGUC